AAUAUUUGACGCUGUUGACUUUCUAUCACAUGUUUGACCGUUCAUCUUAUUCAAAAAAUUUAAGUAAUUAUUAAUUCUUUUCCUAUCAUUUGAUUCAUUGUUAAAUAUAUUUUUAUGUAGGCAUAUAAUUUUACAUAUCUCACAAAAGUUUUUGAAUAAGACGAACGGUCAAACAUGUGCUAAAAAGUCAACGGUGUCAAACAUU
rfam:Oryza sativa (indica cultivar-group) chromosome 8, whole genome shotgun sequence.